rnacentral:lncRNA from 1 species
GGACUUUGUCUUAUUAAUUUAUAAGAAAGACUUGGUUUUCAGCAGACAGAAAACUAAAUUUGUUCCCAUCCAUCUGAAUCAGACUUUUUUUGCAUAAAAAUUCUGAGUAUUUUACCCUCUAUGUCUCAUUCAAUUAUGUUCUUGACCAAACCUAACUUCUUAUCUUUAAAAAUUAGUGAUCGACUAGUAACUACAAACUAUCUAGGAAAUAUAC